rnacentral:misc_RNA from 1 species
ACGCGAUAAGUAAUGUGAAUUGCAGAAUCCAGUGAAUCAUCGAAUCUUUGAACGCACAUUGCGCCCGCCAGCAUUCUGGCGGGCAUGCCUGUUCGAGCGUCAUUUCAACCCUCGACCUCCCCUUGGGGAGGUCGGCGUUGGGGACCGGCAGCACACCGCCGGCCCUGAAAUGGAGUGGCGGCCCGUCCGCGGCGACCUCUGCGCAGUAAUACAGCUCGCACCGGAACCCCGACGCGGCCACGCCGUAAAACACCCAACUUCUGAACGUUGACCUCGAAUCAGGUAGGACUACCCGCUGAACUUAA